rfam:Gossypium hirsutum cultivar TM-1 unplaced genomic scaffold scaffold783.1, whole genome shotgun sequence
UGUUAAAAAUUUUAUCUAUUUUUACCAUUAAAAAGUGGCUUUGUAAGUCGGAAUAAGCUACAUACUGUUUGGAUAUUUCGUUAAUUAUACCCGUUUUUAACCGUAAAAAUGAAUGAAACUUUUAAAA